rnacentral:lncRNA from 1 species
CUACUCUUCAGAUCAUUGUUACAAUAAGCUCUUUUGUCUGAAUUAGUUUCUUUAUCUCCACAGUGUAUCAACACAAAGAAGGGAGAGGAAACUUCAACUCAUGAUCCCAUGAUAGAGCAUUUCAACAUUAAUAUAGAUUCAGCUCCAUCCUCCUGACAAGUUCUUGGUGCAGGAAUCAAGGCAAAGAAGUGACAUCUACUUAAUACCCUUGAAAUCUGAAUUCAGCAAUUGCUAAUGUUUCUUUAGAAAAUGAAUGGAUCAUAUGGAUACCUCCUGAAGAAGACUGUAAGCCUCUGUAGAAGAGCAAUAGUGCAAGUUUACCUGCAGAGAGGGGUUGAAGAGGAUAGAGUCACACCAAGUGAUGGACUCACAGUCCUUUGUUCUGCCUAUAAAGAAAGCAUCAAGUCCAGUGUGAGAAGAUUUUACACAGGACAUCUCAGAUUUUACACAGG